rnacentral:rRNA from 1 species
GCCUGUUUUUCAAAAACAUGGCUCCGUGUCAGGUAGAAAAUACGGAGUCGGACCUGCCCGGUGAUUAGUUUUUAACGGCCGCGGUACUCUGACCGUGCAAAGGUAGCAUAAUAACUUGCCUUAUAAUUGAAGGCUGGAAUGAAUGGUUUGACAAGAAUAAAGCUGUCUCUUUGUAGUUAACUAGAACUUUAUUUAUAGGUGAAAAAGCCUAUAUGGUAUUGAUAGACAAGAAGACCCUAUCGAGCUUUAAAAAAUUGUUAUGGAUAAUUGCAGGUAUUUUGGUUGGGGCGACAGAGGAACAGAUAAGCUUCCUUGGAAAAUGAUACAGGCGUGGUGAUCCAGAACUUCUGAUUAACGGAAUUAGUUACCGUAGGGAUAACAGCAUGAUCCCCUUUGAGAGCCCACAUCGAAAAGGGGGUUUGUGACCUCGAUGUUGGACCAGGGUAUCCUGAAGAUGCAGCAGUCUUCAAGGGUUGGUCUGUUCGACCAUUAAAACCCUACGUGAUCUGAGUUCAGACCGG